rfam:Lentisphaera araneosa HTCC2155 1101329224559, whole genome shotgun sequence.
UCACGGGUAACUGUGAGGUGUGAAGGAAGCGAUAGGAAGUAAGGUGGCCGGAGCGUAAGCGAACCUGAUACGGCACAUUAGGAGGGUGAGUCUGCAAAACAUGAUGAAGUCCCAAUACUUGAUCAGUCCUAAUGUGUGCUUGAGGUCGGUAAACCUUACAGGGAGUCAGU